GACGAACGCUGGCGGCGUGCUUAACACAUGCAAGUCGAACGGAAAGGCCCUGCUUUUGUGGGGUGCUCGAGUGGCGAACGGGUGAGUAACACGUGAGUAACCUGCCCUUGACUUUGGGAUAACUUCAGGAAACUGGGGCUAAUACCGGAUAGGAGCUCCUGCUGCAUGGUGGGGGUUGGAAAGUUUCGGCGGUUGGGGAUGGACUCGCGGCUUAUCAGCUUGUUGGUGGGGUAGUGGCUUACCAAGGCUUGGACGGGUAGCCGGCCUGAGAGGGUGACCGGCCACAUUGGGACUGAGAUACGGCCCAGACUCCUACGGGAGGCAGCAGUGGGGAAUAUUGCACAAUGGGCGGAAGCCUGAUGCAGCAACGCCGCGUGCGGGAUGACGGCCUUCGGGUUGUAAACCGCUUUCGCCUGUGACGAAGCGUGAGUGACGGUAAUGGGUAAAGAAGCACCGGCUAACUACGUG
rnacentral:rRNA from 1 species